GUAGGUGGCAAGCGUUGUCCGGAAUUAUUGGGGCGUAAAGCGCGCGCAGGCGGUCCUUUAAGUCUGAUGUGGAAGCCCACGGGCUCAACCGUGGGAGGGUCAUUGGAAACUGGGGGACUUGAGUGCAGAAGAGAAGAGUGGAAUUCCACGUGUAGCGGUGAAAUGCGUAGAGAUGUGGAGGAACACCAGUGGCGAAGGCGACUCUUUGGUCUGUAACUGACGCUGAGGCGCGAAAGCGUGGGGAGCAAACAGGAUUAGAUACCCUGGUAGUCCACGCCGUAAACGAUGAGUGCUAAGUGUUAGAGGGUUUCCGCCCUUUAGUGCUGCAGCAAACGCAUUAAGCACUCCGCCUGGGGAGUACGGCCGCAAAGGCUG
rnacentral:rRNA from 1 species